UAGUUGUAAUUAUUCUGAAAAGUAACUGCGAAUUGCGAUGCGAUGCAAAACUGCACUGCAUUCUGUGACAGAACUUCGUCUGCAUCGGAGGUAUUUGUUGGUGAUCUUCGGUAUUAGCAAAAAUUAUAGUGUAAACUGACUGAUUCAAGCAGUAGUAACAGAAUUAUUCAAAAUGGCGCAUGGUAGAUAUGCCGUGACCAUGCGGCAAUCGUGCAAUCUGGAGCCCUAUCGUGCCGAAGCCCGGCCAGCGGUAACCGAUCCUACCUAGCUGGAUCUUGGUUCCGCUGGCCUUCGGCGAUAUGAUGACUACUUCUUAGAGAAAUCAGUGUACGUUUCAUUUGCGAUUAAGGAAUAAAUGUGUUUGGCGAUUACA